GUGUUACCAUGAGUUCCCUUCAAGCACUUCGCGUGAAGUGCCAUUCAUAUUACUCUGUUUAGGAGUUUUAGGUGCAAUGUGAAGUGUUUGGGGGAACUCUUGGUGAUAC
rnacentral:pre_miRNA from 1 species